GAUGAAGAACGUAGCGAACUGCGAUAAGUAAUGUGAAUUGCAGAAUUCAGUGAAUCAUCGAGUCUUUGAACGCGCAUUGCGCCCCCUGGCAUUCCGGGGGGCAUGCCUGUCCGAGCGUCAUUGCUGCCCUUCAAGCCCGGCUUGUGUGUUGGGUCGUCGUCCCCCCCGGGGGACGGGCCCGAAAGGCAGCGGCGGCACCGCGUCCGGUCCUCGAGCGUAUGGGGCUUUGUCACCCGCUCGAUUAGGGCCGGCCGGGCGCCAGCCGGCGUCUCCAACCUUCUAUUUUACCAGGUUGACCUCGGAUCAGGUAGGGAUACCCGCUGAACUUAAGCAUAUCAAUAAGCGGAGGA
rnacentral:misc_RNA from 1 species